AUGAACGCUAGCGACAGGCCUAACACAUGCAAGUCGAGGGGCAGCACAGGAGCAAUCUGAGGUGGCGACCGGCGCACGGGUGAGUAACACGUAUGCAACCUGCCUGUAAGCGGGGAAUAACCCGUUGAAAGACGGACUAAUACCGCAUAAUACUAAAUUACUGCAUGGUAAUUUAUUUAAACAUUUAUGGCUUACAGAUGGGCAUGCGCAUGAUUAGCUAGUUGGAGAGGUAACGGCUCCCCAAGGCAACGAUCAUUAGGGGUUCUGAGAGGAAGGUCCCCCACACUGGUACUGAGACACAGACCAGACUCCUACGGGAGGCAGCAGUGAGGAAUAUUGGUCAAUGGACGAGAGUCUGAACCAGCCAAGUCGCGUGCAGGAAGAAUGUCCCUAUGGAUUGUAAACUGCUUUUGCAGGGGAAUAAAGUGCAUCACGUGUGAUGUUUUGUAUGUACUCUGCGAAUAAGGAUCGGCUAACUCCGUGCCAGCCGCCGC
rnacentral:rRNA from 1 species